rnacentral:rRNA from 1 species
UACAGAGGUCCCAAGCGUUGUUCGGAUUCACUGGGCGUAAAGGGUGCGUAGGUGGCCAGGUAAGUUCGGUGUGAAAGCUCGGAGCUUAACUCCGAAAUGGCAUUGAAUACUAUCUGGCUAGAGGGUCGGAGGGGAGACUGGAAUUCUCGGUGUAGCAGUGAAAUGCGUAGAUAUCGAGAGGAACACCAGUGGCGAAGGCGAGUCUCUGGACGACUCCUGACACUGAGGCACGAAGGCCAAGGGGAGCAAACGGG